rnacentral:rRNA from 1 species
AUUGAACGCUGGCGGCAUGCUUUACACAUGCAAGUCGAACGGUAACAGGGUGCUUGCACCGCUGACGAGUGGCGAACGGGUGAGUAAUGCGUCGGAACGUGCCGAGUAGUGGGGGAUAACGCAGCGAAAGUUGUGCUAAUACCGCAUACGUACUGAGGUAGAAAGUGGGGGACCUUCGGGCCUCACGCUAUUCGAGCGGCCGACGUCUGAUUAGCUAGUAGGUGAGGUAAAGGCUCACCUAGGCGACGAUCAGUAGCGGGUCUGAGAGGAUGAUCCGCCACACUGGGACUGAGACACGGCCCAGACUCCUACGGGAGGCAGCAGUGGGGAAUUUUGGACAAUGGGCGAAAGCCUGAUCCAGCCAUGCCCCGUGUCUGAAGAAGGCCUUCGGGUUGUAAAGGACUUUUGUCAGGGAGGAAAUCCCUAGUGCUAAUACCGCUGGGGGAUGACAGUACCUGAAGAAUAAGCACCGGCUAACUACGUGCCAGCCGCCGCAGUAACAC